AUGCAAAAUACUUUUUUCUCCGCCCCUCUAUAUGCUUCCUUUAUUUCAAUUCUGUUGAUCUCUUAACGUAAAUUAUUCUGCCAUGCACUAAUCUCAUAACCACAAUCACAAAACCACUCAAGUUCUUGACCAGUUGUUGAACUAGAUUUGAUGAGUACGUAUUAGCUAGUGAACCAAAACUUAAUAAUUAAACGAUUACUUGAAACAAUUGAUAGUUG
rnacentral:lncRNA from 1 species